rnacentral:rRNA from 2 species
GGAUGCGAUCAUACCAGCACUAAAGGACCGGAUCCCAUCAGAACUCCGAAGUUAAGCAUGCUUGGGCGAGAGUAGUACUAGGAUGGGUGACCUCCUGGGAAGUCCUCGUGUUGCAUUCC